UACGUAGGGUGCGAGCGUUGUCCGGAAUUAUUGGGCGUAAAGAGCUCGUAGGCGGUGUGUCACGUCGGUCGUGAAAACUUGGGGCUCAACCCUGAGCGUGCGGUCGAUACGGGCAUCACUUGAGUUCGGCAGGGGAGACUGGAAUUCCUGGUGUAGCGGUGAAAUGCGCAGAUAUCAGGAGGAACACCGGUGGCGAAGGCGGGUCUCUGGGCCGAUACUGACGCUGAGGAGCGAAAGCGUGGGGAGCGAACAGG
rnacentral:rRNA from 1 species